AUCUGGGCUCUUCCUCAGGUGUAUGUAGCUUGCUAUCAGGACAGAAAUUUAAUACCUAUCCUUGAGAUGUAAAGUGCUUAUUUAUGUGACUCAAAGUGUUGUUUUUAAAGUAAUUAAAAAUUCGAUACAUGCUUUACACUGAGUAUGAGUAGUUCAUCUGGAAGAGGUUACAAUAUUAAAUAACUCUGCCAGAAUAACUGAGUGACAGGGGGCUAACUUCUUUUGAACAGAAUGUGGAUGAAGUGGUAUACACAAUUUAAAGUCUAGAUGGAAGACCGACUACACUUUGAACUCUCGUGUGACAGUAACCCAAUUUAACCAUGGAAAUGAUUUUAAUGCAUGGUGGUGAAGUAUGGAUUUAAAUUCAGUCUUUAGCAAGUGGAUACCCAAUUCUCCCAGGACCAUUUAUUAAAGAACUAUUUUUCAUCCAGCAAAGCUUCCACUGCAAAUUCUGUUUGAUGAACAAGGCAAUGAAUCAAGUUUAACAUGGGAAGAUUUUCAUCAGCAAUGCAAUCUUGGUUAAGAAAAGAUGAUUAUGGAUAUUUUGAGAAGAAAAUGACAACAAGGAAUCUGAAAGUAAGAGCUUAUUAUGGCCUUUCUACCAUGAUUUUGCCGACUUGGAAGCAGCUGACUAGGAACUGAUACUGUGAGACA